GCGAGUGGCGAACGGGUGAGUAAUAUAUCGGAACGUGCCCAGUCGUGGGGGAUAACGCAGCGAAAGCUGUGCUAAUACCGCAUACGAUCUCUGGAUGAAAGCGGGGGACUCGCAAGGGCCUCGCGCGAUUGGAGCGGCCGAUAUCAGAUUAGCUAGUUGGUGGGGUAAAAGCCCACCAAGGCGACGAUCUGUAGCUGGUCUGAGAGGACGACCAGCCACACUGGAACUGAGACACGGUCCAGACUCCUACGGGAGGCAGCAGUGGGGAAUUUUGGACAAUGGGCGAAAGCCUGAUCCAGCAAUGCCGCGUGCAGGAUGAAGGCCUUCGGGUUGUAAACUGCUUUUGUACGGAACGAAACGGCUGCCCCUAAUACGGGUGGCUAAUGACGGUACCGUAAGAAUGAGCACCGGCUAACUACGUGCCAGCAGCCGCGGUAAUACGUAGGGUGCGAGCGUUAAUCGGAAUUACUGGGCGUAAAGCGUGCG
rnacentral:rRNA from 1 species